GAAAGAAUAUACGAUUGAGGUAACUUGUGUCGACUAUGAAAGCUCACAGGCAAGCGACAUUAUGUCGGUGACUGCUUGUGAUAGUGGUACAGUCCUCUCAACUUAAGCUGAGAAUUGCAUUUGUGUGAGUGCACACCGAUAGUGUAGAGUGGCAAUCGGCUUGAGGCGCGGCGCGUCCCGCGCAUGGUUUAAACCGGUUUAUACUAGUUUAUAGCAAGCGGCCUGAGGCGCGCCGCGUCCGCCACGCGUCACUUCCCUGCCGCUCACAUACUUCACUUCACCCCCGGUACUGGUAGCAGAUAGACGUGUAAUUUUAUGUGAUUGUGUUCGAAAUAUUAGUGAAAUGGCUCCUAUUGCUCUGACUCUGAUGAGUCAUCAGACGAGAGUGAAGAUGAAGAUGCAAUGAGCCGGAGUAGAAGAGUUAUAAGAUUCAGUCAUUAUGAGGUCGAGAAUUGUACAGUUGGUCACAUUGUGUUUUAUGGACUUCCUUUUAAUAAAACAUUAAUUUUA